GCUAUAAAUGAAAGGUGUGUCAGCUGACCUCUGCAUGUCUUAAGAUAGAGUGUGGUCACUGAGCGGAGGUCAAACUAACAUCACAAACUGUAGUUCAAAGUGUAUUCAUAUUGUAGAGGAGAGGACUUAUGAUAGAUAGGUGGAGAUCAUAUCAUUUCUAAAAUACAUCUAGAGCAUUUGUCAUCCAUUUAGUUCAAGGAAUAGUCAACUUUGGUACUUGUGGUUGGGUGUUCACACCAAGCAACGUGUGACAUAAAGAAGUGUUCUCUUCCUGACACGCCAGCAGAAGAUAAAUGAUCCCCCUGAUAAUAAUAGUUCUGGUGGACACAUCAGAGCUGUUUUCUUCAACAUACACAAUAUUGCAGGAAAAGUAUUCCCACAUGCAACAAGUAAACAACAGAAGGUUAUGCAUAGAAGCAGAGACCCACUCACGUGAUGUGGUCUAAGAACAGUAAGCCUGUCCACACCACCAUCCUGAACCCCCAUAUCCACCUGAUCGGGGAGGAAGCUGCUUGCAUCGCCUACAUCCGUAUCAAACAGUACAUUGACACCAACGGCAUGCCCCGCACCGCCCAGUCUGAGGAGACACACAUCUGGCAUCGCCGUGACGGCAAGUGGCAAAUAGUCCACUUCCACCGCUCUGGAUCACCCUCCGCCAUCACCAAGUAAGCCAGUCUGCUGAACUCCAGAGCAGGAGGGUUUGAGUGAGACGUCUCUCUGAGUGACACCGGUGGGUUACCAGCCGGCUGCGUGGGGACACAGAGGGACGCCCACCGACCGGCCUGAGGAACCACGAGCCCGCCCGCCCUCCUGCCCGCCCGCCACAUCUCAUCUCUUUACUUGAAAUCAGUUUUAUGCCUCCUCUGAACUCCAUCACAAGCAAAUCACAGUAACGUCACACUAUGUCACUGUCUCAUGUAUGUACUGUAUAUGCUGUGCGUUUCAGGAACAUUUUAGCCGUGUCAUGCUGUCUCGCCACACGUCCUUCUCUGACUUUCUUGUUUUUGUCAUACUACAGUACUUGGCAGAGGCACAAUUAGUACCAAUGGAUCUAUGAGUAGGAUUCAAUCUGUAAAGUAUAGCCGCAGGAAGUAGGCGUGCUGAGUGUGCUGCUGCACCCUGAUAAUCAUCUUCCCGCGGCUGUAAAGCACUCGCAGUAAUCGCCACCUACAGUUUUCCUUACACUUUACUUUUUUUAUUCAGUUAGACUUAACAGUACACCAUACCGCUGCACACAGCCAUACAGUUUAUUCUCUGAACCCGGACUUGAAAGCUAUGAUGGAAACAUUAAAGAUGUACCAUGUAUCCUUGAAGGGGAAUUAUAAUGCCAAAAUAUCUAUAUUUUUGUUAACUUGAAACACAUUGGAUCAUGAGAAGUGGGAAAGCAUUCACAAAGCGUGAAAUGUUCUUUUUGAUAAUGAAUGUCUUAUGGUGUGUUCCAGAUUGAUAAUCCACUACCACAUGAUCAUGGCACCUCAAGAGCACAUUUAACGUAGACAACAGAGGAAACCAUACUUUGCCCUCACAGGUCUAAAUGAUUAAAUGGCUGACCGUUGGUCUGAAUAGCCCCUUACCUCAUGUGAUGAUAUGAUUUGGCAGCAAACUGCCAUUUCUGGGCUUCAAUACUAUACACAAAUACAUAGUUACAUGUUGUUGAAACAGGUAUAUUUAACAUGAGUACUCAAAUCAAAUUUUAUUAGUCACAUACACAGUUUACAGCAGGCAUAAAAUGUGCAGUGAAAUGCUUAUAUGCUAACUCCCUCAACAAUGCUCCCUCAACAAUUCUCCAUCAGCAAUUUUCCAUCAACAAUUCUCCCUCAACACUUCUCCCUCAACACUUCUCCCUCAACACUUCUCCCUCAACACGGCUCCCUCAACACUGCUCCCUCAACAAUUAUCCCUCAACACUUCUCCCUCAACACUGCUCCCUCAUCAAUGCAGUACAUUAAUAUUAAUAAUAACAUUAAGAGUCCAGUCAGAAAUAUCAAGUAAUCAAAGUAAUAGUAACAUAGAUAUGUACAUAAUAGAACAUAAUACUGGAUGUGGGAGGAGCAUCAAAGCACUUCUUUAGGUUCUUCCAAUGAGGACUGUCGGUAUUUACCAUAUAUCUUCCACACUGUUUAGUGUUAUCAAUACUGUACCCCUCUUGCUUGUUAGAGCAGUUUAACUUCCUUUCAACAGACAGUGUAAACUACAGUAUUCUGCCUACUUCAGAGUAAGAAGCUAUUUAUAACAGACCACUAACACUGCCCCAGGAUGUUCUGCAAUAAGUUAGAUUGGUGUUUUUAUACUAAAUCAUUUGUUCUUCUGAUAAAGAUUUGUUGUGGAUUUAAAAAAUGACAAUGAAUUUGAGUGACUUUGUUUUAUUGAUGCAUCCCAUUCCCUCUAUGUCUUCACUCUCCAGUGUUAACAUCUCUGUUUAUUGCAUGCAAGUGUAUAAAUGAGCGGUGGAUCUCUCUGCUUGUGUUUCUAGUUCUCAAAUUUGUCAGAUUUUUAAAAAUAUUAUAUCUUUUUACUGUCAGAAGAAUGUCCAAACGGGACUAAUUAGAGCUGCAGUAUGUGUUUCCUUAUGUGCUAACAAUAAAUGCCUCACAUAAUAUUUGAUUGUGCGUUGAAAAACUGCCAGAAUUGAAUUUGAUUUAAACAAAAGUUGUUUACUAUUGGCAGUUCAACACAGAUUUAUAUUAAACUUUGUACUGUAAAGCAAUUUGCGAUCAAAUCUGCUGAAUACGACAAACAAAUGUUUUCCUCAAAAUGUUUGAUAGGGAAGGAUACAAGAAGAACCACAACAGCCAAAUCCUCCUUCUAGAACUGAUUCUACAGAUUGUAUACUUGUUUUAUACAGUAGUUUAGUCUUAUUGUGAAAAUGGCCAGACCUACAGCCUACUGCUUUAAUACAGCACAAGAACUUCCAUCACACUGCUGGUCUGAUGUUGCUCUUUCUGUCCUGGCACCAUUGAAUGGAGCACACUGAGGACCUUAUGGUACUGUAUAGGAGCACAGCAUGAAGUAGGAUUUAUAUUAUUCUGGAUAUGUGACGCUUUCUUUAUAUUAUUCUGGAUAUGUGACGCUUUCUUUAUAUUAUUCUGGAUAUGUGACGCUUUCUCUCUUUUUUAUUAUUCUGGACAUGUGAAGCGUUUGUAUUUUUCUGGGUUUGUGACACUUUAUUUGUAUUAUUCUGGAUAUGUGACGCAUUCUUUAUACUAUUCUGGAUAUGUGACGCUUUAUUUUUAUUAUUCUGGAUAUGUAACGCUUUCUUUCUUUGUAAUAUUCUGGAUAUGUGACGCUUUCUUUCUAAAGGUUCAAAGUCAUCAUUUGCAAUUGUUAUAUAAUAUAUUGUGAAUGUGGGUCUGUAAAUAAAAACAUUAU